rnacentral:tRNA from 2 species
GGGGUUGUGACUCAGUGGUAGAGCGCUUGCCUAGCAUGUGUGAGGCUCUGGGUUUGAUUCUCAGCACCCCA